CUCAGAAACUUAAAGGAAUUGACGGGGAGCACUACAACGGUGGAGCCUGCGGUUUAAUUGGAUCAACGCCGGAAUCUCACCGGGGCGACAGCAAUAUGAAGGUCAGGCUGAAGACCUUACCCGAUUAGCUGAGAGGUGGUGCAUGGCCGUCGUCAGUUCGUACUGUGAAGCAUCCUGUUAAGUCAGGCAACGAGCGAGACCCACGUCCACAGUUGCCAGCAUACCCUCCGGGGUGAUGGGUACACUGUGGAGACCGCCGCUGCUAAAGCGGAGGAAGGAGUGGGCAACGGUAGGUCAGUAUGCCCCGAAUCUCCCGGGCUACACGCGGGCUACAAUGGUUGGUACAAUGGGCAUCUACCCCGAAAGGGGAAGGAAAUCUCUUAAAGCCAAUCGUAGUUCGGGUUGAGGGCUGCAACUCGCCCUCAUGAAGCUGGAAUCCGUAGUAAUCGCGUUUCAACAGAACGCGGUGAAUACGUCCCUGCUCCUU
rnacentral:rRNA from 1 species